AAUGAUUUGGCAGAUUAGUGCAUUAAAUUUAGAAUUUAACUAAGUAUAAUUAUUAUAUACAUUCAUUA
rnacentral:tRNA from 1 species